rnacentral:rRNA from 1 species
AUUGAACGCUGGCGGCAGGCCUAACACAUGCAAGUCGAACGAGUGGCGGACGGGUGAGUAAUGUCUGGGCAACUGCCUGAUGGAGGGGGCUAACUACUGGAACCGGUAGCUACUACCGCAUACCAUCAGCUGUGCCCAGAUGGGAUUAGGUAGUUGGUGGGGUAACGGCUCACCAAGGCGACGAUGCCUAGCUGGUCUGAGAGGGUGACCAGCCACACUGGAACUGAGACACGGCCCAGACUCCUACGGGAGGCAGCAGUGGGGAAUAUUGCACAAUGGGCGCAAGCCUGAUGAAGCCAUGCCGCGUGUAUGAAGAAGGCCUUCGGGUUGUAAAGUACUUUCAGCGGGGAGGCGGUACCCGCAGAAGAAGCACCGGCUAACUCCGUGCCAGCAGCCGCGGUAAUAC